UACGGAGGUGGCAAGCGUUGCUCGGAAUCACUGGGCGUAAAGGGCGCGUAGGCGGGGAGGUAAGUCGGGUGUGAAAUCCCUCGGCCCAACCGAGGAACUGCGCCCGAGACUGCUUCUCUUGAGUCCCGGAGAGGAAGGUGGAAUUCCCGGUGUAGCGGUGAAAUGCUGCAGAGAUCGGGAGGAACACCGGUGGCGAAGGCGGUUCUCUGGGCCUUACCUGACGCUGAGGAGCGAAAGCGUGGGGAGCGAACAGG
rnacentral:rRNA from 1 species